AAGAUGAAAUUUCAGGACUAAUAUUUUACUAUGGAUUGAAGGAUAAAAUUUACUAAUAUUUUUACAAUAAUAAAAUAUUUUUCUUUUUCUUUUAAUCUCUCCUUUAACCCAUCCUUUUAUUUGUUUUAAUAUCCUUUCUUUAAGUCAUUCUUAAAACGAAAAAAAGUACAAAUAAAUCUUUAAACUUUACAGAAGGCUCACAAUCAAGCCUCUCUCUAUCUUUCUCUUCCCCACUAAUCCCACCAAAGACUCAGUCUAUAAAAGGUUAGCGCUUGGCAGUUAGUUCCCUAUACAACCAAUCCACUUCACCAUUUACACUCUU
rnacentral:lncRNA from 1 species